GCCGCCUGCCCCGGGCGGGGAACGCGCACAUCUGGCGGCCCAGGAGCCACAUCUGAUGCACUAACCCCCGCACCCAGAUGUCCAAGAGGCCGGGGGAGUCAAAGAACGCCAGGGGCGGGGCGACCGCGGCUGCGGCUCCUCCCUCGGGCAGAGGGAGUCCAGAUGCGAGGGACGCCCUCCAGAGCCGAGCUGGGCCGGCCGGGCAGCUAGGCGCUGAGACGCAGGCCUUUCCUGGCGCGAAGCGACUCGCCCCGGAGCUCCCCUGCACCGUCCUGGGUGUCAGGACGCGUCAACCCAGAUGACCCGACCCGGAGAUCCUGGAUCCUCUGCCCUCUUCCCCCUACCAAGUCCUUAACCGGAGAGGGAGGAGCUACCAAUGUCCUCCAGACGUUCUCCAAAGCCCGAGCUGCCGGGAGAAGCUUGCUCAAGGCGGGUGCGCCCCUCAGACGUUUGUUUGCACGCAGGGGUUUUGACGUUUCGCUAAGCAACAGCGUUUGCCAGGGAAUCAGGGCUGUUUCGAAGAGCUUGCGUCUAUUUGAUGCUCCCAUCUUGAACAAAUCGUUUCCAUUCGAUUUGUUUAACCAAGGCGAGGGCGGACUAUGUUGUUACUUAAAAGUUAUUCUUCAUCCAAGCUGUCCUCAGAUUUUCAUCUAAGGGUGUCAUAACACCCCAGGUCGUUGCGCAAAUGUUUUGUGACAAUUUAGAAAACCAGAGGGGGGAAAUAUCCUUAGAGAAAAAAUCAUAACCAACAAGAAAAUUAUGUUAAAUGAUGUUGGUCCUUUUUCAUCGGAUGGUCCCAGUUGACACAUAGUCUUUUACAAAACCAGUGACUAUUCACAGUCUUCAAUUUAUGGCACAUCUCCCGGUGGGGGCGAAGUGCAUGAAUGGGUCCCACCUUAUUCACCAGCUGAAACUCUGAACAAGCCUUGGGGUUUCCUCUCCCAAAGACUGCCAGGCUUCACUAAGAAUCAAAACAAAACAGGAUACUAAAUGCCUGCGGUGUUGUUAAUCAAACACAAGACCCAUAAAGUGAAUUUGGGGUCAUCUUGUCCUUUACUGGUUUCCUGAUUGGGAGGCUCACCCUUGGCUUAUGAUCACAUCCAUUUGGCAGAAAGUCAGCUUAUUUGACAGGGUUGGAAACAAUGCCAUGUGAGCAGAAGAGAAAUUGCUUUCAUCCCUUUUUCUACCUGAUGGUCUUAUAUUAUGAUAUGGUUUGGCUGUGCGCCCACCCAAAUCUCAUCUUGAAUUGUAGUUCCCAUAAUCCCCGUAUGUCAUGGGUGAGACCUCAUGGGAGGUAAAUAAAUUAUGGAAGUGGUUCCCCCAUGCUGUUCUCAUGAUAGUGAGUGAGUUCUCAUGAGAUCUGAAUGGUUUUAUAAGUGGUUUUUCCCCGCUUUGCUCUGCACUUCUCUCUCCUGCCACCAUGUGAAGAAGGAUGUGUUUGCUUCCCCUUCUGCCCUGAUUGUAAGUUUCUGGAGGCCUCCCAAGCCAUGCGGAACUGUGAGUCAAUGAAACCUCUUUCCUUUAUAAAUUACCCAGUCUCAGGCCAGGCACAGUGGCUCACGCCUGUAAUCCCAGCACUUGGGGAGGCUGAGGUGGGCGGAUUGCCUGAGGUCAGGAGUUCGAGACCAGUCUGGCUAACAUGGUGAAAUCCCGUCUCUACUAAAAAUACAGAAUUAGCCAGGCAUGAUGGCGUGUGCCUGUAAUGCCAGAUACUUGGGAGGCUGAGGCAGGGGAAUUGCUUGAACCAGGGAGGUGGAGGUUGCAGUGGGCCAAGGUCACGCCACUGUACUCCAGUCUGGGCGACAGAGCAAGACUCCAUCUCAAAAAUAAAUAAAUAA
rnacentral:lncRNA from 10 species